rnacentral:rRNA from 1 species
AUUGAACGCUGGCGGCAGGCCUAACACAUGCAAGUCGAGCGAGGGGGGGACGGGUGAGUAAUGCCAGGGAAUGGUACAGUCGAGGGGGAUAAGAGUUGGAAACUACUGACAAUACCGCAUACGGAUGGAUGGCUCAGGUGGGGUUAGAUAGGUGGUGAGUUAAUGGCUCACCAAGGCCACGAUCCCUAGCUGGUAUGAGAGGAUGAUCAGCCACACUGGAACUGAGACACGGUCCAGACUCCUACGGGAGGCAGCAGUGGGGAAUAUUGCACAAUGGGCGAAACCCUGAUGCAGCCAUGCCGCGUGUGUGAAGAAGGCCUUCGGGUUGUAAAGCACUUUCAGCGAGGAGGCGUUACUCGCAGAAGAAGCAACGGCUAACUCCGUGCCAGCAGCCGCGGUAAUAC